rnacentral:lncRNA from 1 species
GGUUAUGGGUGUAAUUGUUUUCAAAACAAGAAUCUGAUUAUAGAAAAAAGGGUCGUACAGUAACACAACGAUGGAUGGUUUUCUUAGUCGACAUCAAAUACUGACUGAACAAGAUCAGUGGGUAUGGUUUUCUCAAACAAAAAUCAAGUUCGUUCUUGUUAAACCUCUUGGUCUUAUCCGAUUAAAUAUUUGUGUGUACCCACAAAUAGUUUGAUCUGAAAGUGUAUCACGAUUCCAAGAGGAAUCCCAGUUAAUUUUCAGUGUUCGUCAUCUCUUCAAUCAGAUCCGCGAUUUCAAUUCACUGCAAGUAUCGGGUACGUUCUAUAUAUAAUCCAACAAAGAUCAAACUAUUAUUGUUGGUGUUCGAUUUGUGUUGUUCGGUUGCUUUGGUUACUGAAUGCGUUUCCAAAUUCGGGUCGUUGUUUUUAUCGGAUCGAUUGUGUGUUCUUCGGGUUUCUCGGAGUUCCUACGGAAAAUCAAGAGAUGGCUGCGUUUUGAUUUUGUGAAAUCGGAGGACGCAUAACAGGGACCAAAUGCAUGAAGCAAAUUGUCGUUCUUUGGGUGUUUUAUUGCAACAAUUCACAAGAAAGAAGGCAGAAUUAUCCGAGUCGCAUAUUUGCGUUUUGGGGUUUGGUCUGAAUCUCAGUUCUGUACGAAUUUCAUGUAUGGAAGAUCGAAAGGAGAUGUCCGGACAAGCAACAAUUUAAGCGGCAACUGGAGCGGUUUGAUAAAUUGAUCCAAGUUACAUUAGAUUGGUUUAAACUGAUCAGUGUUUGGCCCUCGCUAGUUGACCUUUUGUUACCGAAGAAUGGAUGUGCGAUAACGAUUAAAUUAGAAGAUCAAGGGAGGCUUUGCUGGUGACACAAAUCAAAAGGAGAACACCAUUCUGGUGUUUGGCUGUCAUGACAGAAAGGAAAAUAAUUCUUUUGGAUGCUACUACCCAAAUUCCAAAUGAAAGAAUUUGUGAUUCUCAACUACAACAUAUCCGGCCAAUUUCCAGGUUUUAUCAUUUCUUUAACUUCUAGAAAUUGCAUUUACUUUAUACCUGUCGAGAAUACAAGAAGGAAAACAAUUUUGUGUUUUGGCGUGUUUUGUUGUUGGAAAGAAAACAAAGGAAAACACAUGUUCUUUUGUUCUUAUUUAGGUUUAUUGCAAGAACAUAAAAAACUUGGUGUCAUUGCAAUUUAAAAGAAAGAACAAAGUUUGCUUUGUUUUGAUGUUAACUAAACAAAAGCGCAACUACAUGUAGGUGCUGCUUUGAUACGCAUAACAGUUAACAAAGAUGAACACCAAAGUUUAUGGUGUUGUUGUGACAUACGGAAAAACAACAUAAAGGCUUCUUGUUGGAGAUAACUAGAUGUAUUUAUUAAUUUAUUAAUUGUAGUUUUAAAAAUUAAAGUUGUUUAUUUUUGAAAAUGUAACAUGAUGCAAUCGAUUACUAGUUCAUGGGCAAACUAUUUUGAAUAACUCGUAUGGAUGAGUUCAGUACCGAAAAUCAUAAAAUAUGGGUACUGGAACCGGAAAUGCUCGGUAUGGUACGACGGUACCGGUAUUUGAAGGUAAAAUUUAAUAAAAUACUGAAAGUACGGGUACCAAAUAUAACUCGGUACGAGAAAUUCAGUACCGGUACCAAAUGCUCAUCUCUAGUAACUUGUGAGCAAUGGUUGGUAAUUUAUUAUAAACUGUACUAUGUAAAUAAUCUGAAACAAAUAAAUAUAUUUUAUUCAUUUGACCAACGUUCAUUUAUAUAGACAAUUCUUUUUUAUACAAAUUUGAGGAUGGUCUAAUCCUACAUUUGACAGAAAGUCGAGAACUUAAAAUAUAGUGAUUUGUUUGGUUUCUCUCUACACCUUUAGUGGGUAAUAAAAGCAUGCUGGAAUCUCACAUGCUCGGCGCUUAGGGUUCACCGUCAUGUUUGUAUCGUUUCGUGCGUUACAGGAGUCCUUUAAUGGCUGUUGGUUUUAUCCUUAUGCGUGAUUAAAGAAUUGUGUUAACAUGAUACUUGUUAAAUUAUUCCUACUUAUUCUGUAUAUAACUCGUCGUGUUUGAUUAACUAUCUAUAAGGUAAGUUGUUCUUAAAUUGUGAAUAAUCUUGAAUGUGACAUGUAAAGAUUUGUAUGAAAGCCUUGUGUUUGUGUGUGGGGGGGGGGGGGGGGAUAGUGCAUGAUCCUCCUAACCGCCGGAGUGAUCCCACUCCGGGAGCCGCUACCCGACCAAGCCAGCUACGCGGUGAAUUCCCCUUGCCGAGUUCUUACCCUGGGCGACAUAUGCCACUGCCAAGAUUUGAACCCGGUACCUCUGGGAAGAGGUGGGUGUCGGUGGCCAACUGGGUGUUGGUUGUAUGAAAGCCUUGUGUAUACGUGGUAGAUGAUUAUAUAAAACACGCAUGCUAUAUUACUAAAUGUAAUAUGUUCAUUAGGUAUGUGCUAAAACACAAACAAGAAUUACGUAGCAAAAUAAAGGAAAAUGAUGUUAAAUUAUAUCAUGUUACGUGCAAAUAUGAAUGAAAUAAGGCUAAUUGGCAUGUUUGAUAUAUGGAUUGAACGAGAGAAGUAAAGUCUCUUAUCUCUCUAAUGCUUAGCAUGCCCUGUUAAUUUUGGUUAACAUGUAUUAUUUUCUUAGAAACUACUAAAUUCAUGUAGUCUAACUCUUGUCUAAGUGAAAAGUUUUAGGCUAUGUUAACAACAUACCUGUAAUGAACUUAGGUGCAAAAGCCUGAAAUUUAGGUAUCUAAGAGUUUGGGGUUGUAGUAUUGUCUUACUGAACCUAAAAGAAAAAAAGUUUAAAUGAGAAAGGAAUAAAUGGUCUAUUUAUAAGCUAUGCUAAAAAUUCAAAGGUCUUUAGGUUCUAUGUCUUAGAACUAAUGACCGAGUGCGUGUAAAAACUGUCAUAGAAUCAAGGGAUAGCAUCUAGAAUUCUCACAAUAGGUUUUUGAUCCUAUUGAGAAUAUAGUUGUUGAUUUUGAUAAAGUGCCUACUGGUACUGACAGUGUAUCUGUUCCUUCUGAACCUAGGAAAAGCAUGAGAACAAGAAAAGCAAAGUCUUUGGUUCUGACUUUCAUCUUUAUUUAGUUGAAAGGACUAGGAGUUAGGUUGGACAUCAGGAUCAAUAUUGUUUUUAAUAUUGAAGAUGAUCAAUUCUUGGGCAAAAACUUAAACAAGCAUUGUUGAGGUGAUUUAUCUAAUGGGUUUCUUCUGAACCAAGAAGAUAAAUAUGUAUGUAGCAGUCUUGAAUCCACUGCUAAAGAAGUAAUCCUUCGAUAUGAUGGACCUGGGGGAGGAUUUUGUUAUCCCAUGAAUAAGGAUAAAAGGGAGGAACAAGAGUGUAUUAAUGGUGCAUUCUCAUUGCAUUGAUAAAGUGUUGUAUAAAUCCAGUUACUUUGUUCGUUCUCCGGUUAGUACUCUUAUAGGUCCUAAUAUCUGACUUGCGCGUAAUCAAGAUGAAUAUGUUUCCCAUAUGGAGUGUUUAAAGAAAUUGGAUGCCUAAUGUAUGUUAUGUUUGUACAAGGCAUUAGCAAGCUGUGAAUAGAUUGUUUGAAUGCCUAAAACGAACCAUGAUAUAUGGCUUGUGUUAUUAAGGUUUUCCUUCAGUUUUAGAAGGGUAUUUCUGAUGCAAGUUGUAUAACUAAGUGGAUGCGUAUUCCUACUUGGUGGGGGUGCUAUCUCCUAGGCUUUAAAGAAGCAAACUUGCAUCUGAAAUUCAACAAUGGAAUCUGAAUUUGUAGUUUUAACAGUAGCUGGUAAAGAAGUUGAAUGGCUAAGAAAUUUGAUCAAUGAGAUUCCUUUAUGGUGAAGCCCAAUAUCACCAAUAUCUAUCAAGUGUGAUAGUGUUGGCUGAGGAUCAUAACAAGGUGUAUAAUGAAAAGUCUAGACGGUUGUGUGUUAUACAUAGCAUGACUCAUGAGCUCAUCAUGCGUAGAGUGAUAUCUGUUUAAUUUGACUGAUUAUCUAACUAAAGAGUUAGGAGAGAUAUCGUGAAUAAGUCUGCCAGAGGGAUGGGUUUAAAGUCCACACUUUAAUAUCCUAUGUCAAGAUACCUAAUUCCCAUCUAAUACAACGUUAGAUGCAGAAUUCAAUGUGGAAAGCUUGUCAUAAAGAUAUUGGAACACAUGAUCAGAUUCAUCCCAAGGUGCGAGAAUAAAAGAACUACCUAUAAGAGUAUGAAGUUUAGCCGCUUCAAGAAGCUUGGACUUGGCUUUGAUAUACUCUUUGAAGGAUAGGACACAGGCUAGUAAAAUAUUGUGUCAAGUAAGAACAUAUGAAUUUGCAAACUUAUGUGUAUAUUUUCUUCAUGUAUUUAUUAUGAAUAGAAAGGGUUCAAUCCAUAGCGACACCCUAAUAUUCGAAUAUUUGAAAUGUGUAAUAUACUAAUGUGAAAUUCAAUCGUCGUGAUAUU